rnacentral:rRNA from 1 species
ACAUCCAGAGAAUUUAGNAGAGAUGCUUUAGUGCCUUCGGGAACUCUGAGACAGGUGCUGCAUGGCUGUCGUCAGCUCGUGUUGUGAAAUGUUGGGUUAAGUCCCGNAACGAGCGCAACCCUUAUCCUUUGUUGCCAGCACGUAAUGGUGGGAACUCAAAGGAGACUGCCGGUGAUAAACCGGAGGAAGGUGGGGAUGACGUCAAGUCAUCAUGGCCCUUACGAGUAGGGCUACACACGUGCUACAAUGGCGCAUACAAAGAGAAGCGACCUCGCGAGAGCAAGCGGACCUCAUAAAGUGCGUCGUAGUCCGGAUUGGAGUCUGCAACUCGACUCCAUGAAGUCGGAAUCGCUAGUAAUCGUAAAUCAGAAUGUUACGGUGAAUACGUUCCCGGGCCUUGUACACACCGCCCGUCACACCAUGGGAGUGGGUUGCAAAAGAAGUAGAUAGCUUAACCUUCGGGAGGGCGUUUACCACUUUGUGAUUCAUGACUGGGGUGAAGUCGUAACAAGGUAAGCGUAGUGCU